CGUGUAGGCGGCCGAUCAAGUCGGGUGUGAAAGCCCUCGGCUCAACCGAGGAAUUGCACCCGAUACUGAUUGGCUAGAGUCCGGGAGGGGGUAGCGGAAUUCCCAGUGUAGCGGUGAAAUGCGUAGAUAUUGGGAAGAACACCAGUGGCGAAGGCGGCUACCUGGACCGGAACUGACGCUGAGGCGCGAAAGCUAGGGGAGCGAAUG
rnacentral:rRNA from 1 species